rnacentral:rRNA from 1 species
UACGUAGGAGGCAAGCGUUAUCCGGAAUGACUGGGCGUAAAGGGUGCGUAGGUGGUUCAGCAAGUUAGUAGCGUAACUCCGGGGCUCAACCUCGGCACUACUACUAAAACUGUUGGACUUGAGUGCAGGAGGGGCAACUGGAAUUCCUAGUGUAGCGGUGGAAUGCGUAGAUAUUAGGAAGAACACCAGUAGCGAAGGCGAGUUGCUGGACUGUAACUGACACUGAGGCACGAAAGCGUGGGGAGCAAACA